CUUACUGAGACAACCAGGUGAGGGGAGUUCCUUACUGAGACCUGGACAACCAGGUGAGGGGAGUUCCUUACUGAGACAACCAGGUGAGGGGAGUUCCUUACUGAGACAACCAGGUGAGGGGAGUUCCUUACUGAGACCUAGACGACCAGGUGAGGGGAGUUCCUUACUGAGACAACCAGGUGAGGGGAGUUCCUUACUGAGACCGAGACGACCAGGUGACGGGAGUUCCUUACUGAGACCUAGACGACCAGGUG